GUUGAAGAGCAAAUUGCAUAGUUUAUUUCUUUUCAAUACUAGAAUUCUGCUUGGGCUUGGCUCAAGAUACUCUGUAGGCAUAAUUGGCAAUAAACUAAUGGAAAUCAUUAGGUGUAGGCCUCAUGACAUCUGUCAUUUCGCUUUGGUUCUUCUCCUUUUCUUAUGGGAAGUGGAGAUAUCCAUCACAUAGAAACCAUAUAAGCAAUCUACGCUGUCCAGUGAUAAAGGGAUUUCAUUGCAGUCGUUGAUCGAGACCGAUGGCGUCAUUUUCUACUGAUUGGUAUGAGAGUAAUCCUCAUCGAGAGAAUCAGAUUUGCUUAUCGAAGAUGCCAACAAACUUGAGGUCAAGUUGUAAGCAUAAGCAAGAAGAAGAAAGAUGGAAGCUAAAGAGAAGGAAGAUAUGAUAAAUUGUUGAAACUAUAGGCAAGUCUAAUUCUUGGCUUUUGUGAGUGUUAAGCUGUCCUUUGUCUUUUGUUUCUUCUUUAUGCUUUUUUGGCUCGUUGUAUCGGUUUUCUUGAACCAUUUUUGCCUCAUGUUCAUUGAAGAGUUUCAGUAUGUAAUUCUCUACAUCACAUGUUCUGAUCAUGUGUUUGCAUAUCCGGUUUAGAAUUCAAUGAAGAAAUAAAACAAAAACAUAGUUGAU